AACGAACGCUGGCGGCGCGCCUAACACAUGCAAGUCGAACGAGAAGGCGUAGCAAUACGCUUGUAGAGUGGCGAACGGGUGAGUAAUACGUGGGUGACCUACCCUCGAGUGGGGAAGUAACCCGCCGAAAGGACGGGCGUAAUGCCGCGUACGCUUCCGUCCUCACAGGGACGGAAGGAAAGACUGUACCGUGGGUACGGGCGCUCAAGGAUGGGCGUCACGUCCUAUCAGCUUGUUGGUAGGGGUAACGGCC
rnacentral:rRNA from 1 species